CACCACUCGAGCCCCGCUCGGUGUUGGGCGUCGCGUCUACCGCGCGCCUCAAAGUCCCCGGCCGUGUGGUCCGUCCCCGAGCGUUGUGGCACAACUGUUUCGCUUUGGGUGACGCGCCGCGACGGCCGUUAAGCCUUCUCACCA
rnacentral:misc_RNA from 2 species